rnacentral:rRNA from 1 species
CCCUUAGAUGUUCUGGGCCACACGCGCGUUACACUGAUGAAGCCAGCGAGUAUAUCGCCUUCACCGGAAGGUGCGGGUAAUCUUGUGAAACUUCAUCGUGCUGGGGAUAGACCAUUGCAAUUAUUGGUCUUGAACGAGGAAUUCCUAGUAAGCAUGAGUCAUCAACUCGUGCUGAUUACGUCCCUGCCCUUUGUACACACCGCCCGUCGCUACUACCGAUUGAAUGGCUUAGUGAGAUCUCGGGAUUGGAGACGUUGCGCCGCAAGGCACAUCGUCCUCGAGAACUUGAUCAAACUUGAUCAUUUAGAGGAAGUAAAAGUCGUAACA